CUGCUGCAUCCGCAAAGUUUCGUUUUCCUUUCUUCAUUCCUCUUGAAGUUGCGUAACAUGUUUUCCGUGAGUGUUAAAGCUCAGUGAGCUGCUCAGAGCACAAGUGAAGGAGGAAACAUGGCAAACAGCGAGCUGGGAGACCGAGUCAAGGACAUGUAUGAUGGAGUUGAUCUGAACAACAUGACAAAACGACAAAAAGAAGCGCACAUAGAUAGAACUCUUCAAAACAACCGGGAUGUUCUCCUCAGGGUUUAUAGACAGGACAGACUUCAUAUGGUGUUCUUAAGACCGACUGAUCCUGGAGUGUGGAUGAGAGUGAUUCAGGGCAGGAUUGCAACUGCCCUGUCUUUUCAGCUGACCAAGAAACGUGCUGAACUCAAUAUCUACAAGAUCACCAUGUCUGGUGCUCAGGAGGCGCUUCAAGGUUUCUGUAAUGAUUUUGAUGAGAUCUAUGAGGAGGUUAUGAGAAAUAUGCCGGAUGAAGGAGCAGCAGCAGGAAAUAACGCAGAGGAUGAUGUUGAGGAGCUCAGAGUGAGAAUCAGGGAGCUGGAACUGGAAAACGAAAGGCUUCGCAGGAAUUAGCUGUGUCUUCAGAGCAGUUGCAAACCCGAGGCCUGUGUAUCGCUGUGGUUCUUUCAUCACUGCAGUGGAACUGGAUAAAGGGAUAAAGUUGAACAUAAUACUGAAUACGGAGGAAAGGCUGAUAGAUUACCACUGAUCUUUACUUUACAAUCUCUUACACUUUUCAUUUUAGCUCUAGAAGAAAAGAAAUUGAAUUUAGCCAAACCUUAGGACUAGAAUUAAACUAACACAUUCUUAUAUAUAUAUA